GACGAACGCUGGCGGCGUGCUUAACACAUGCAAGUCGAACGGUGAAGCGCCUUCCUUUUUGGUGGGUGUGGAUGAGUGGCGAACGGGUGAGUAACACGUGAGUAACCUGCCCCCUUCUUCUGGAUAACCGCAUGAAAGUGUGGCUAAUACGGGAUAUUCUGGGUCUGUCGCAUGAUGGGUCUGGGAAAGAUAUUGUUUCGGUGGGGGAUGGGCUCGCGGCCUAUCAGCUUGUUGGUGGGGUGAUGGCCUACCAAGGCGGUGACGGGUAGCCGGCCUGAGAGGGUGGACGGUCACACUGGGACUGAGACACGGCCCAGACUCCUACGGGAGGCAGCAGUGGGGAAUAGUGCACAAUGGGCGCAAGCCUGAUGCAGCGACGCCGCGUGAGGGAUGGGGGCCUUCGGGUUGUGAACCUCUUUCGCCAGUGAAGCAGGCCUGCCUCGUUUGUGGGUGGGUUGACGGUAGCUGGAUAAGAAGCGCCGGCUAACUACGUG
rnacentral:rRNA from 1 species